rnacentral:rRNA from 1 species
CCUACGGGUGGCAGCAGUGAGGAAUAUUGGUCAAUGGACGCAAGUCUGAACCAGCCAUGCCGCGUGCAGGAAGACGGCUCUAUGAGUUGUAAACUGCUUUUGUACGAGGGUAAACGCAGAUACGCGUAUCUGUCUGAAAGUAUCGUACGAAUAAGGAUCGGCUAACUCCGUGCCAGCAGCCGCGGUAAUACGGAGGAUUCAAGCGUUAUCCGGAUUUAUUGGGUUUAAAGGGUGCGUAGGUGGGCGGAUAAGUUAGAGGUGAAAGCUCGAGGCUCAACUUCUGAAUUGCCUCUGAUACUGUCCGGAUAGAGAGUAGUUGCGGUAGGCGGAAUGUAUGGUGUAGCGGUGAAAUGCUUAGAGAUCAUACAGAACACCGAUUGCGAAGGCAGCUUACCAAGCUACUUCUGACGUUGAGGCACGAAAGCGUGGGGAGCAAACAGGAUUAGAUACCCUUGUAGUC